AGAGUUUGAUCAUGGCUCAGGAUGAACGCUAGCUACAGGCUUAACACAUGCAAGUCGAGGGGCAUCAGUUUGGUUUGCUUGCAAACCAAAGCUGGCGACCGGCGCACGGGUGAGUAACACGUAUCCAACCUGCCUCAUACUCGGGGAUAGCCUUUCGAAAGAAAGAUUAAUAUCCGAUAGCAUAUAUUUCCCGCAUGGGUUCUAUAUUAAAGAAAUUCGGUAUGAGAUGGGGAUGCGUUCCAUUAGUUUGUUGGCGGGGUUAACGGCCACCAAGACUACGAUGGAUAGGGGUUCUGAGAGGAAGUCCCCCAGAUUGGAACUGAGACACGGUCCAAACUCCUACGGGAGCA
rnacentral:rRNA from 1 species